rnacentral:lncRNA from 1 species
GUUCCCAGAAGCACAAUGAACAAAAAAGGUGUAUUAGCUAAGAACAAAACUCUGACGGAUGCCAUGGAAACAUAAUGUUUAACCUUGUUUAAAACUUUGGAAACUGGUACAAAACAUCAUUAAGCUUGAGCAAAUAUUUAGCUCUCUACAUAAUAUAUAUACAAAGAAAUAGGGGUUUGAUUCAAUUCAAUUAGGUCCCCAACAGCUCAAAUACAUAACUGUUCUCAGUGAUUCCUCAGAUUUCUUCAACUUCUGAUUUUCCUUCAUCUUUUUACAUAUAAUUGUUGAAGAGGGUACUCCAGAGAGUCUCUUGGUCUCAGUGUAUGAUCUGAGGUUGUUCUUGGCAUGUUGUUGCAGUAGCCUCAUGGCAUAAUUCCAUCUACAGAAUCCCUGAUCUUUCAGUGCCUCAACAGCCCCAAUGCUUGCUCCCACUAACCAAGCCCUGCUCGUGGAACUCAUUUCAGCUUCUUCUUUCGUACUGAAUCAGUGUUUAUUACCAAUGGAUAUGAAUGGUGAUGAAGAAUGAUGAGGAGAAUGUGUGUUUAUAUAAGAAACUGGUGCAGGUUUCGCCAGCAGAAAAGGAAAGCCCCCAGUUUUAGGUGGUAGUAUUAUAUCCAUAUGCAUUAAGGAUUGUGCCAAUGAAUUUAGACCAAUUGGAAAGAAAGAGAGCAGAUAUGUACGAACUCACAUCAGGUAC